rnacentral:tRNA from 1 species
GUGCUCGUAGCUCAGCUGGUUAGUAGCACCUGCCUUUUAAGCAGGGGGUCGAGGGUUCGAAUCCCUCCGGGCACA